GUGGGCUCGGCCAACGCACGGGGGAGCAGAUCUUUCUGUAAAAAGAAACCCACUAGCACGGCCUCUCCUCCUCGAUGCCUACACACACACGUACGGCACCGCCGCCGCCGUCGCCACCGCACGCGCGGCCGGUCUUCUUCCGCGGUCGUCUACCGCCCUGUCUCCUUCCCCUCUGCACCUGCCCCAAUCUUCUUCGGCGCCACUCUGAGCCUUCUCGGUCUUCAACCUCCUGCAAUCUUCAAGCCCGCGGCACCCAAUCCGAGCAACCAGCCGUCGAUUCGAGCGACCCCCGUUAGGAAUCCAUGGAAUUUGAGGUGGAUUUCCUGGAAGAGGGAGGAGGAAGGAUGAUGGUGGGGUUCAUGGGGAAGAGGAGUCCACCAUCCGCGACUCUCUCCCUCAGGGGAACAUCGCAGAUUUGACUAGGAGCUCUCAAGCACGAGAUCCCCUGGGCGUCUCAUCUGUCCUUGCAGGCAUGUGUUCUUCCUCCUCUUAUGAGAUCAUCAUGUGCAAAUAUGCUAGAGUUGUACUCCCUCUGUAAACUAAUUGUGAUCUAAAGAUCUUAUAUUAGUUUACAAACAUAGUACAUAAUAUCUUGCAAGGCUGACUAAUAAGUAGUUUCGCUUAAGAUGCUUCUAGAGACUAAUUGGAAUGGUGGAAUUCAAUCGGACUAUCAUAUGAGCAUAAUAGACUAUGAGCAUCAUUCAGAUUAUAAUGAAUGAGAAGUGAAGGUCUGAAUGUCAAACAAAAAAAUAUAGUGCUAAAUAUUCAGCCAAGGAAUAGCAAGAAGUAUAUAUCUUCUCAUGUAUAUUACGAAGAAAUUCUUCACAUGUUUUCCUUUUCCAUACUAGGUUCAAGGUGAUCAGGUACGGCUCAUGGGCUGCUACAACUAUUAGUGGGACAAAAGGUUGUGCAUGCACAUGCUUAUUGAUUCAAGGCAUAAUUAUGGGAGAUAGUGCAUGGUCCAGAUGAAUAGAUGGAACCCGUCCAUAGAAAAGAAAAAGAAGAAUAAGAAGGAAAUUGUUCUUCGUAAACAAGUACUCCCUCCGUCCCACUUAUUUUGGGACGGAGUACAUAUUACAUCAUAUGUAACCGGAGAAUGGCGGCAUGUCAAGAUCAGGCAAGAACUCUGAUGCCUGUGUGCACUUGCUGAAUAUAGAUGAUUGUGAUGGCCUUAUUCCUUGGAUGUGUAGGGAGCUUCAACCUUGUACGUAGCUUAUUACCUACUACUUUUUGCGCGUACAAAAAAUUAUGUACAUUGAUAUAUGUGGUCUAAUCAGUACCAUGCAUCAUAACCUAUCCUUUGUUUUACUCAAGUUUUUAGUUAUUUAUUUCUUGGCCGAAUAAAUUCCCUUUCGUAUGUAAAAGACAGUUGAUCAUCAUGACAUCCCCACCGAGGCGCCCCGCGUCUGGGCCCGUAAUCCUACACGGAUCUCCGCCGGGGCCAUGACAUCCCCACCCAGGUAUAGGAGCAUAUUGAUCUAAAAAAGGCACCGACCCAAUUGAACCUCUCCCCUGACCCUUUCUUCUCCAUCUUCCAAUCUCCUCUGUUAUCAAGUUCUAACAGUACAUCAAUCCAAGCAACUCUUUUCAGAUCAAUUAAGGAAUCAUUCUCACGAUGGUGGAUGCUUGAUGCAACAGAGGAUCACAUGUGUAUUGCUGGCAGUUUCAAUUUAGCCGUGCAGUUGCCAUCAUCGUCAGACUUCACUGGAGGAGCUGCAAUGGCUCUUUGUUCCAGCCAUAUCCGAUCCCCCGAGCCAGAGCUUUCAGGUCUCCUACAACGCACGUUGCUCACGUUGCUCACGUCGCGUCCCACCAGCUCCUGGUGAGUUGCUCACCUGAGUCAUAAUAGAGGGACUGAAAAUGUCAGAAGGGAGAAGAACAUCCAAACCAUUUUUUGUGUAUUGGAGUGAUUGAAUCAUGGCAAUCAAAGCUGACAUCGCGUCUCCUUCCUCGUACACACUUUUAGGGUAGUUGUGCAUCUAUAUUCCAUUCUGUACACCAAGAGAUGAUGUUGUUUUCCUUUUACAAAAUUGAACUAUGUGAGACGUUACUAUUUACUGAAGCAGUUACAGUUUAGUACAUCGUUAUCAUUCUCAACAACUUCAUAGUAAUCCAGUUCAGAUUGAGGCCAGACAACUAUUGCUUAACUGGGUUCAAGUUAGCUCAAUUGUUCCGACAUGCGAUAUUUUUUAACUCUCAUGUUUAUUCUUGGGACAUUUUACAGAAAUAUAAAUAGCAAGCAAUCAAUCAGGUUGAUCAGAGCCAGACAGUUCACUGCAGUAAGCAAUGCAAUAUCGUGGCAGAUUGUUAUCGCUAGCAAUGACUCACUGAUCUCUGAUGUGGCUCUCAAUAGUGAUGCAUUGCAAAAUGGACCGAUCCAUCAUCGUUAGUCUACUGCUGUUGGCUUCUUCUGAGCUACUAAUAUCAGGUUGUUUUGUUUCUGUUGAGCAGUUUAAGCUUCAAGGUUGCAACUGAAAUGUGAUCAAUAGUGGUUGUUCUCAACUUCUCAUUCAGUUCAUCCUGAUAAUGUGGCUAGAGAACUGUAUAUCAGUUUAUUAAGUUGGUUUCCUAUCCGUUAUGCAGUUUAUGUGUGAAUCCUGCAAGUCGUCAUGUUCAAUUGUGGUUGUCAUGUCGAAUUCGUAUUUGAUCAUACUGAGCGCAAACUGUAGGGUUAGCUGUGUUUGAUGUUGAAUCCCUGAUGAUUACAUUGUUGGAAAAUUAUUCCUGGUUUCCUUUCUGUUAGUCAGUUUUAAGUGUGAAUGGUACAAGUCAUAUUAUUUGAUUGUUCUUCUCUUAUCGAAUCUGUCCCGAGCAUAUUGUCCACAAACUAUAUUUCUAUUCAAUAUGUCAGUCUUAUUUCAGUGAUUGUUUUGUUAAUGUUCAAAUCAGCUACAUUAAACCUAAAAUCAUAUGGGAAUCAGUGCGAUUUACAAGGACUCUUUGGGGAGAUACUUUGCAACUGUGGAACAUCAAUAAAGCAUGUUAGUUACGUGGCGGAGAUGGGCUACUUAGUUGAUCUCAACCAUUUUGCAAUUCACUUUUAAUCUGAAAAACUGUACCUUAUACUGAUCAUGACUUCUUUAGGUUCUGAGGGCUUAGAUUAAAAAAAUCAAGACAAUUUUUUUGUAUUGCAGUGGGGUUGGCUGCUGUAUUGACGAUUUGGAGGUUUAUGAAUGAGGCCUGUUUUGAGAAUAAAAGCGGUGUCUGAUACUUUUGUUCUGAUUCAUGUGGUUUGUUAUUUGGUUAAACUCAUGGUCAAUUUUGCAGAUUAGUGCUGAUAUGGGGAGUAAAGCUCUUCGAGCAAGUGACAAAUCAUGUCUUUCGAGCAUCUCAAAGAUGGCGACAUGGAGUCGUUUGACUGGCAGCUUAAAAGCAAUUAAAGUGAAGAGAGGAAUCAAACUUUUAAAGCCACUCUUGCCAUUUGUGGACUGUUCCUGCUUGUUGGUGACUGCUUUUGCGAGUAUGUUCACUCUCAUCUAGCGAUGAAAUAUUUUGUUUCUGUUGCGCAGCUGCUGAAGGGCAAACCCUGGAUCCUAGAUAUCUGUGGGUUUUGGGUGCCCUCUGGGGUUACCUGAAUGUUCCUAUUUCUGUUAUCUUCUUCCCUUUUUAGUUUUCUUCAUGCUGUAGAUGAACUUUUGGUUUCUGUUAAUAGAAUUCAGAGAGGAGGCUCUCUUUUAUAAAA